UACGGGAGGCAGCAGUGGGGAAUAUUGCACAAUGGGCGAAAGCCUGAUGCAGCUAUGCCGCGUGUAUGAAGAAGGCCUUAGGGUUGUAAAGUACUUUCAUCGGGGAGGAAAAAACAAAACUAAUAAUUUUAUUUCUUGACGUUACCCGAAAAAGAAGCACCGGCUAACUCCGUGCCAGCAGCCGCGGUAAUACGGAGGGUGCUAGCGUUAAUCAGAAUUACUGGGCGUAAAGAGCACGUAGGUGGUUUUUUUAAGUCAGAUGUGAAUCCCUGGGCUUAACCUAGGAACUGCAUUUUGAAACUGAAAUACUAGAGUAUCGUAGAGGGAGGUAGAAUUCUAGGUGUAGCGGUGAAAUGCGUAGAUAUCUGGAGGAAUACCUGUGGCGAAAGCGGCCUCCUAAACCGAAUACUGACACUGAGGUGCGAAAGCGUGGGGAGCAAACAGGGAUUAGAUACC
rnacentral:rRNA from 1 species